rnacentral:rRNA from 1 species
GUGUCAGCAGCCGCGGUAAUACGUAGGGUGCGAGCGUUAAUCGGAAUUACUGGGCGUAAAGCGUGCGCAGGCGGCUUCGCAAGUCAGACGUGAAAUCCCCGGGCUUAACCUGGGAAUGGCGUUUGAAACUACGGAGCUGGAGUGUGGCAGAGGGAGGUAGAAUUCCACGUGUAGCGGUGAAAUGCGUAGAUAUGUGGAGGAAUACCGAUGGCGAAGGCAGCCUCCUGGGCCAACACUGACGCUCAUGCACGAAAGCGUGGGGAGCAAACAGGAUUAGAUACCCCCGUAGUCC